UACGAACCGUGCGAACGUUGUUCGGAAUCACUGGGUUUAAAGGGCGCGUAGGCGGCGCGGUAUGUCACCUGUGAAAUCUCCUGGCUCAACUGGGAGCUUGCAGGCGAAACUGCCGUGCUGGAGUGUGGGAGAGGUGCGUGGAAUUCCCGGUGUAGCGGUGAAAUGCGUAGAGAUCGGGAGGAACACCAGAGGCGAAGGCGGCGACCUGGACGGGCACUGACACUCAACUACGAAAGCGUGGGGAGCAAACAGG
rnacentral:rRNA from 1 species